rnacentral:rRNA from 1 species
GAUCCUGCCUCAGAUUGAACGCUGGCGGCAGGCCUAACACAUGCAAGUCGAGCGGAUGAAGAGAGCUUGCUCUCUGAUUCAGCGGCGGACGGGUGAGUAAUGCCUAGGAAUCUGCCUGAUAGUGGGGGACAACGUUUCGAAAGGAACGCUAAUACCGCAUACGUCCUACGGGAGAAAGCAGUGGGACCUCGGGCCUUGCGCUAUCAGAUGAGCCUAGGUCGGUAUUAGCUUAGG